AUUCAGGCAUCACAGUCCAUCUAUCGAGUAACUACCAGGUAGAUACUCAAAUGCAACGGUUUGGCAGGAGUUUGCAGUUUCACCAUGGUGGAGAGAAGGUCCAUAGCAGAGUUGCUCCGCGAGGCAGCGCAUCGUUUGGAGAAUCCAGCUACAGCACACACCUCGGCCUCAUUUCUAUUAACUUCUGAAGCGAGGUAAAUGACAGAUGCAACAUGUUCAGGAAAUGUCCAGACAUCCUUUUCCUCAUUUCCGGUGCCUAGACUCCCAGUUGAUGGUAGGUUAAUACUGUUGUGAGGUUGUCUUUAAAUUGUUUGCAUCUUAUGUGUGUAUAGGGCUUUGUGUCUGUGUAACUGUGUUGUUUGUUCUCAUAACUGAAGUAGCACGGCUUUUUAGCCCAUACAGAGGGCAAAAUAUGCCAUGUCGAGCACCUAGAAGUGUACCUCUUUUAACAUACAUGCACACAUUCUGCUGCCUGGCAAGAAAAGAUGCAUCCUUGGUUCCAACAAGAGCUAUCAAGAAUGACCUUGCCCAUGCGGGGCUGGGUGAUAAGUGCUUUACUUUUCAAGGUCUCCCAAACAUUCCCCCAUGUGCCAUUGCACCAGAUCCACACUGUUUACACUAUUCAUUGAAAUAAGCUUACGAACGGCUUGUUUAAGUCGCAUACAUGUAAAGAUUGCCUUGCUGCUGAUGACCCAAUGAAUGGUGACCUGCAUUUGGUUAUUUAGUGCAGAAUCAUUCUUAAUUAUCAUUCUUUUUUCAAGAGUUCAUGGAAUUUCUUUUCUGUGCCUUUCCUCAAUUGAGAAAUGGUGGAGGAUAUGAGUUGAUGAAAAUUUCUGGAACAACACGAAGCCGUGAACUUGUCCUCAUCCCUUGUCCAAAUUAUGGCUACAGUGUUAAAUAUCUCAAAGACCCACAGACCUACAUAGGCCAUGCCACCAUCUUUGUCCGUCCACUUCAAACACACUUAAAUCUUGUAAGUCUUCAAUAACCUGUCUCUGCUGUAUUACUAAAAUGUCAUGUGUAGCGGAAAUUUAUGCUGUGUGAGCUAAUGUUGUGUAGGUAUUCAUUAAAAAAUGAUUUUUAUUGCAAACUUGUUUCAUUAUUACAUUCACCAUUUAACCAAGAUAUGAGAUUGAGACAGUCUUUUUGUUACAUUGCAGUGAGAGAAUCCUUUAGGUAUAUA